rnacentral:rRNA from 1 species
GUAGUUAGGAUUGAAAGCCUAACUAGCUAUAUGCACGUAGUCGUAACUGAGAGGUUAUCGACCACCGUGGGCCUGAAUAAAGCCCAUGACGAUUGUCACAGCAGUGAGGAAUAUUGGUCAAUAGCCUAACGGCUGAACCAGCAACUUGGAGGAAUGUAUAGCAAUAGCUACUUGCAUCAUUGUAAAUAUGAUGCAAGAUCGACUAUGUCGAAUAAAAUUCUAGGUAGAAUUAUGAUAAUGACAUUGUCUGCCUAUGUGUCUUGACCAAAUUACGUGCCAGCUGUCGCGGUAAUACGUAGAAGACUAGUGUUAUUCAUGUUUAAUCGGUUUAAAGGGUACCUAGACGGUAAAUCAAGCCUAAAA